rnacentral:pre_miRNA from 1 species
AAUAAGUGCAGUCGUGAAUAUCCGUGUCCAACAUUUGACCGUCCGUCUUAUUUGAAAAUUUAUUAAAAAUUUAAAAAUAUUUAGUCACACAUAAAGUAAUAUUCAUGUUUUAUCAUCUAAUAGUAAUAAAAAUAUUAAUCAUAAAAUUUUUUUAAAUAAGACGAAUGGUCCAAAACUAUAUUUAUUUUGGGACGGAGGGAGU